rnacentral:tRNA from 1 species
CAAGGAAUAGUUUAAAAUAGAAUAUCAACUUUGGGUGUUGAUGGUAGGAUUAUAAUCUUUUCCUUGA